GUUAAGAUAAAAUCUGCCCCUCAGACCAUUCAAAAGACUAAAACAAAUAAAAUGGAAGAAGAACGUUUGAGGAAUUACCUUGUGGGGAAAUAUACAAAUGCCUUUGGGUCAAGCUCCACACAAUGAUGUCUCUUGAAUGUGGACCUCCAACCUGCCCGCUGAGAAUUUCCUCCCAACCAGGCACUUUCCUGUCAGCCAACGCUCCGGGAAGGGUGAAGAAAUGAUACGCCCAAGAUUUAUUACAGAGCAUCAUACUUACAUAACUGUUGGACCAAAAAAAAAAAAAAAAAGAAAGAAAGUAAAGAAAAAGGAACAAUGAUAAAGACACUCUUCCUGAAUUUCCUUUGUUCUCUUUCUUCUUUCUUUCAUCUUUCUUUUUCUUUUUUACUUUUAUGAUUUUGACUUUAAAAGUCAUUUCGAAGACAGCCCUUUAGGUAAAGUAGGAUAUUCUUUGUUUUAUUACAAGCCACAGAACCAACUUUAAUUCACCUCUCUGGAGAUUUUCCAACUUCUAUAAAGAUGAUAAUGUGCACAAUAAAAUUUAACUGACUUCUAGAAAAUCUA